AGACGCCAAAACGAUUUGUCAGUUUGACAGUCAACUGCAGGCAGUGUACUUUGUGGAUUCAUUUGGUGCGCACGCGUUUCACAAAAUCCAAAACAAUGUGGGAGAUAAUUUACGAACGAAUGUCCGCUACAGAAUUAUGGAAUUUGAUCUUCAUCGCCAAUUUCAUAAUUUUCAUCCGGAUGCUGAUUGAUUUAAGAUACCCUAUGCUUUCGACCAUAAACCAGGAGAAAUGUCUCACAGCCUUAGACGAGUGGCUUUACGGAAAACUCAUGGCUAUAUGCCCUGAUAGCUGGAACCAACCCUGGACACCUCCUUCUGCCGGAUACAUGAAGUUGCAGAAAUGUUUCUACUUCUUAGUGAACUUAAAUCUGCAUUCACUUAUAAUUUUAGUCUUAAUAGUUAUUUCAAAAUUAUUUGAUCAAAUUUUCUUCAUGUUUUCUAUAAUUAUGACUUGUUUUAUUUUGUAUUUUGUGUAUGAGUGUUAUAAAUUAAGAACACUUAGGAUAAUACGCCCUAGAUUCAGGUUGGGGCCAAUUGAACAGGCUAUUCAUGAUAUAAAUGAGUUUAACGCGAGAAACAGUAGGAAUAGAUAUUGUCGGGGAUAGUCAAUUGAUAAAAACUGAUUAUU